rnacentral:rRNA from 1 species
UACGAAGGACCCGAGCGUUAUCCGGAUUUAUUGGGUUUAAAGGGUGCGUAGGCGUCCUGGAAAGUUACGGUUGAAAUCUCCUUGCUUAACAAGGAAACUGGCCGUAAAACUAUCAGGAUUGAGUACAUUUGAAGCGGGCGGAAUGUGUCAUGUAGCGGUGAAAUGCUUAGAUAUGACACAGAACACCAAUUGCGAAGCAGCUCGCUAAACUGUAACUGACGUUGAGGGACGAAGGCUCGGGUAACGAACAGG